CUAAGUAUAUGCAACGGAGUACUUGUGACGCGUUACCCACCUCUUGCCGUGUCCUAUAAACUUAAUUAGGGCAAAAGUCAAGCAGAAGGCCUGACGAGAAGACUAGUGGACAAACAAACUAGAAAAAAUCAGUAAUUUGCCAGUUGGUGUGUCAGCCAGAGACAAUGUUGUUUAUUGCUUUUUGGUGAAGAGCCCAGGGGAGAGCGUGUGUCCUAGCGGAGUAGAAUGCUGUGACACUUGGUUUCUGAGGCUCGGAGACUGCCUGAAUUUCUGGAACCCUUCUGUCCACAGCGAUUAUAGAAGAGCGGAGGAAAGAGGGCAGCACUCAGCGCUCACAUUUAAAGAUGGAUGUUUGUGCUUGUUUCUGUGCGCACGUAUCUGUGUGUAUGCCCGCCUGUGUGUGAGUGUGCGAGUGCGAGUGUGUGCGCGUGUUUGAGCACGAGAAAGUGUGUGUGGGUGUGUGUUCACAUUAUUGGGAACGUGCAUGUGUGUGUGGGUGUGCAUGUGUGCGUGCGUGCAUCUUUGUGUGUGUGUGCAUUUGUGUGUGGGUGUAUGUAUGAAUGUGCCUGUGCCUCUUUGUGUGUGAGUGUGUGUCUGUGCGUGUGUGCAUAUGUGUAACGAUGCACUCAGUGCCUUAUGUAUAUGUGCAUUUUUGUGUACGCAUGUGUGUGUGUGUGUGCACGCGUAUGCUUUUGUGUGUGUGUUUGUGUGUUUCUUCUGUAUAAGUGGCGUGCCUUGAAAAUUGUACUUCGUAUUCCUAAUUAUUGCAAAAAUAUUCACAGCCUGUCAGGGCCCCAAGCUUGAGCUAGGAACAGAAUUAAAUAUUAAUCUUUACUUUAAACAAAACCCUUCAAAGCCUCUGCCAGCCGUAUUUUCCUAUUUACAUGGAGGGGAGUAAACUGAGCGAUGCUGCAGCCUCUCCUCUCAGACAAUAUAUUGUUAAUCAAUUGCAGAUUUGCUUGAGCACAGUGUAUGUAACCCGACCUGUUCAUGAAAAGCUAUUUGCAAAGGCGUGCUGUCCAGCCCUGCCAGUCUGAGAUCUGACUAGCAGGCAGAAGCAGAAGGAAGACUCUUAUUAGUAGAAAGAAAAAAAGGAAAAAGAAAAUGCUGUCUUCACAAGCACAUCUUUUUUUUUUGAGGGGGGGUGGUGGGGCUUUGCGACAAUUUAAAGAACCGCGUUUCCACUCACAGAUGAUGUGCCUACAGAGGAUGUGUUAGAAGUGUGACCUUUACAUGCUUUUAGAGAGCACGUGCAUAUCAAAUUCCUUUGUCCUGAACUCCUGAAAAUCCAAACUAUUAAAGCAUUUCAUUUCCUUCA